rnacentral:rRNA from 1 species
UGAGAGUGGCGCACGGGUGAGUAAUCAUGGGAAACAUACCUUAAAGUGGGGGAUAACUUCUGGAAACGGAUGCUAAUACCGCAUAUACCCUGAGGGGGAAAGAUUUAUCGCUUUAAGAUUGGCCCAUGGCAGAUUAGGUAGUUGGUGGGGUAAAGGCCUACCAAGCCGACGAUCUGUAGCUGGUCUGAGAGGACGAUCAGCCACAUUGGGACUGAGACACGGCCCAGACUCCUACGGGAGGCAGCAGUGAGGAAUAUUGGGCAAUGGGGGCAACCCUGACCCAGCCAUGCCGCGUGAGUGAAGAAGGUUUUCGAAUUGUAAAGCUCUUUCGGAUGUGACGAUGAUGACGGUAGCAUCUAAAGAAGCCCCGGCAAACUUCGUGCCAGCAGCCGCGGUAAUACGAAGGGGGCGAGCGUUGUUCGGAAUUACUGGGCGUAAAGGGUGUGUAGGUGGACGUGUAAGAUAGCGGUGAAAUGCCGGAGCUCAACUUCGGAAUUGCCAUUAUAACUAUGCGUCUAGAAUUAUAGAGAGGAUAGCGGAAUACCCAGUGUAGAGGUGAAAUUCGUAGAUAUUGGGUAGAACACCAGUGGCGAAGGCGGCUAUCUGGCUAUAUAUUGACACUGAGGCACGAAAGCAUGGGGAUCAAACAGGAUUAGAUACCCUGGUAGUCCAUGCCGUAAACGAUGAAUGCUGGUUGUCGGACGAAUGUUCGGUGA